AGUGAACGCUGGCGGCAGGCCUAACACAUGCAAGUCGAGCGGCAGCGCGGGGCAACCUGGCGGCGAGCGGCGGACGGGUGAGGAAUGCGUCGGAAUCUGCCUUUUUGUGGGGGGAUAACGUAGGGAAACUUACGCUAAUACCGCAUACGCCCUGAGGGGGAAAGUGGGGGAUCGAAAGACCUCGCGCGAUUAGAGCGGCCGAUGCCUGAUUAGCUUGUUGGUGGGGUAAAAGCCCACCAAGGCGACGAUCAGUAGCUGGUCUGAGAGGACGACCAGCCACACUGGAACUGAGACACGGUCCAGACUCCUACGGGAGGCAGCAGUGGGGAAUUUUGGACAAUGGACGCAAGUCUGAUCCAGCCAUUCCGCGUGCAGGACGAAGGCCUUCGGGUUGUAAACUGCUUUUGUACAGAACGAAAAGGUCUCUAUUAAUACUGGGGGCUCAUGACGGUACUGUAAGAAUAAGCACCGGCUAACUACGUG
rnacentral:rRNA from 1 species